CAGGUCAGCAUACUGCCGUGAAUACGUUCCCGGGCCUUGUACACACCCGCCCGUCACACCAUGAGAGUUGGGAAUACCCGAAGCCUGUAAGCUAACUUUUAGAGGCAGCAGUCGAAGGUAGAAUCAAUGAUUGGGGUGAAGUCGUAACAAGGUACC
rnacentral:rRNA from 1 species